rnacentral:lncRNA from 1 species
AUGGCCCCGCCGUUCAGGGCGUUGUGCAAGGUGCUGUGCAAAGAGCCCGCUGUGCAAAAUGCCGUGCAAAGGCGUCGGUGCUGUGCAAGGUGCCAGUGGUGUGCAAGGUGCUGUGCAAGGUGCCAGUGCUGUGCAAGCUGUUGUGCAAGGUGUUGUGCAAAGGCCCUGCUGUGCAAGGUGUCUGCAAGAUGCCAGCACUGUGCAAGGUGCCGUGCAAGGCGCCGUGCACAGGCCCUGCUGUGCAAGGUGCUCUGCAAAGCGCCGCCACAACGCAAGGUGCCACGCGGAGGCCCUGCAGCGCACGGCAUUGUGCAAGGUGCAGCCCAGGGAGUUGUGCAAGGAGUUGUGCAAGGAAUUGUGCAAGGAGCCACGCCACGCACGGCCGGGCUCCCUGCAAGCUGGGAACAGCGGGGCAGAGAGGGGCAGGGUCCCUUUUGGGGGGUUGGGGGGGUCCCCGGGCAACCCUUGUGCAGCAAAGCGCAGGGGGCAGAUGCCCAGAGCCCUCCUCGUCUUUCCCAGCCUUUAAGGAUUCCCAAAUACCCCAAAAAAAAAAGAAGGUUGGGGGGGGGGGGGGGGGGGGGCGCCCCUCCCCGCCUCCCCCUGGCGCACGGCCACCCCGUAAUGGGCUCUCCCCGGAUAAUCCGCGCUGGCCGUGAAAUCCUAUUAAAGCUGCCCUGGCAAAUUAGCAGCGGGCCCGAAACCAUCCCAAAACGAACGCCGGGCGCUCCCCCCACGGCGGGAGAAAGGAAGGAGAAAAGAGCCGAAACCCCGCGUUUUUGGGGCAGGCGAAAAGGCGCCGGUUUUUUGCUUUUUUUUUUUUUAAUUUUUUUUUCUUGCCAGGAAGCGCCGUUCAUUCAUUUGGUUCCAGAAGGGGGAAACACCAAAAGUGCGUUUCCGCCCCCAAAACCUCCCCGCUGAGGUUCCCUUGUGCCACCGGGGACUUUUUGGGGUGCGGGGGGACCCCAUAGAGCCCGGCCACGGCUCUGGGUGGGGACACGGGACCACGAGCGUCCUGGUGGCCUCGUGCGCCAGCAUCCCCGGUCCCCAAGGGCUCCGUGUCCCUGCGUCCCUAUAAUUGUCCCCUGGGGGCUCUGUCCCAAUGUCCCCAUGUCCCUACAGCCGUGUCCCAGUGUUUUUGGGUCCUGCAUCCCUGCCCCGAUGUCCCUGCGCCUCUCUGGCCCCGUGCCCGAUGUCCCUGUGCCCGCUGUGCCGUGACAUGGGGACACGGGGACACGGGGCCACCAGGGCGAUGGCCAAGGCCACCCCAUGGCGAGCAGGGUGUGCGGGGGCUGGGGGACAUCUCCUUGACCCUAUAUGAGCAGCAGGAAACUGGGGACACGGAGAAACCCCCCCAAAAGGGGCACCCACAGCCUGGGGGCUCCCCAGGGACCUCCCGGGUGCGCUCUGGGGCGCAAAGCACCCACGGGACCGGGGUGGAUGUGGGACCCCGGCUACGGGCUGGGUGUCACGGCCCUAUAGAGAGCGUCACGGCCCUAUAGGGCGAGCAAAAAGGGUGUGCUACGGGCGUGCAAAACCGGGGGGGUGUAGGGCCACCGGGGCGAGGCACCUUCCGGGUGCAAACGGAGCCGCCGCAGCGCCGGCACCGCCCGUCUCCGGGCACCCAAGGGUGACCCCAUAAAGGCACCGGGGUCUCUCCGCGCAUCGGGGUCCCUCGGGUGCCCUCUCCCCAAUGGGGUUGGCUCGGCCCCGCUGCCGGGAAGUCCCCACGGCCUCCUGGUGGCCCCGAUCCCACAACCCCGGCGCACGGCAGAGCAGGAAAUAAUUACUCACGGCGCCCGCCCGCAGCUGCGGGGCCACCCCGAUCCGGGGCAUGGCCGGCACCGGGGGUGGGGGGGACAUGGGGUGGCCCCACCCUGGGGGUGCGGGGACCCUAAAGCACCAUGGUGUGGGUGCAGCA